rnacentral:misc_RNA from 1 species
AAAGUGAAAACGUGUUUUUUUAACUUUCGGAUUUUAUACCUACACAAGUGUAGGUAUACACUUGCCUGGUCAUACUGAAACAAGACAGGUCGCAGUGAUGUUUUCUGGGAGAGUGGCUGUCGUGACAGGGUCGGCCCAGGGGCUGGGGAAGGUCUUCUCCGGAGUCCUCCUGGAGAGGGGGAGUAAGGUCUGUAUUUCUGACGUUAACCAAAGUGAAUUAGAGAAAACUUACAAAGAGUUCAAAUCAAAGUAUGCCGAAAACGUCAUAUCCCAGCAGUGUGACGUCACGGAUUCAGAGCAACUCAAAGAGGUUUUCAGGAAAACCAAGGACACAUACGGACAACUUGAUCUAGUGGUAAACAAUGCAGGGAUUGUGAAUGAGAAAAACUGGCAGCAAUGCAUCGACGUUAACCUGAACGGGACGAUCCGCGGAACCAUGCUGGGGAUGGAAUACAUGCGGAAGGACAAGGGCGGUAAAGGGGGCCUUAUACUGAAUAUGUCCUCUCUGGCCGGAAUCUUUCCUGUGAAUUAUACUCCCGCCUACGCGGCCAUAAACACGGAGUUAUAGGUUACACCAGGAGUUGGUCAAUGCACCCGGAUGUAGUAAAUAAUGGCGUCCGGUUAGUCUGCCUCUGUCCAGCUUUUGUAGACACAGACAUGAUAAAAAUGGAUGACGACUCAAAAUUUGUCGGAACAGAUUUGGCUCAACAAGUGAUUGAGAAAUUUGGGAUCAUGAGCACGGACCAUAUAAUCCCCGUGUUUGUGAACGCUAUUGAGGAUGAAGAAAACAAUGGGAGCGUCAUUUCCAUCACGUUGAAAGGGGCGAAUAAGAUCCCGUUACCUAUGCCAUAAGUUCGAGUAGACUAGUUGUUGUUUUUUGUUCGUCACCCUAUCGAUUUGUAGCACUAGACAAUCAUUUUACCAGUAUGAUUGCAAGCAACUUGAAAUUGUUUUUAUCGUUUCUAAUAUAUAUUCGUCUUUACUACUAGAUGAUAGGCCGCGCAAGCGCGGGAAGUAACACUACACACUAUUAUUAUAUAAUGCGUAAUAUGUUGAACCAUAUUUUUGUUCAUUUUUGUAUAUACUUUGUCCGAUUUUUUCUCACCUUAUUCUUUAAAAUUGAAAUGAAAAAAU